UACGUAGGGUGCAAGCGUUGUCCGGAAUUAUUGGGCGUAAAGAGCUCGUAGGCGGUUUGUUGCGUCGGCUGUGAAAUCCCGAGGCUCAACCUCGGGUCUGCAGUCGAUACGAGCAAACUAGAGUGUUGCAGGGGAGACUGGAAUUCCUGGUGUAGCGGUGAAAUGCGCAGAUAUCAGGAGGAACACCGGUGGCGAAGGCGGGUCUCUGGGCCGGUACUGACACUGAGGAGCGAAAGCGUGGGUAGCAAACAGG
rnacentral:rRNA from 1 species